UAUUGGUCAAUGGGCGAGAGCCUGAACCAGCCAAGUCGCGUGAAGAAUGACGGCCCUACGGGUUGUAAACUUCUUUUGUCAGGGAGCAAUUGGGUCCACGCGUGGGCUUAGCGAGAGUACCUGAAGAAAAAGCAUCGGCUAACUCCGUGCCAGCAGCCGCGGUAAUACGGAGGAUGCGAGCGUUAUCCGGAUUUAUUGGGUUUAAAGGGUGCGUAGGCGGAAUAUCAAGUCAGCGGUAAAAAUUCGGGGCUCAACCCCGUCCGGCCGUUGAAACUGGGGGCCUUGAGUGGGCGAGAAGAAGGCGGAAUGCGUGGUGUAGCGGUGAAAUGCAUAGAUAUCACGCAGAACCCCGAUUGCGAAGGCAGCCUUCCGGCGCCCUACUGACGCUGAGGCACGAAAGUGCGGGGAUCG
rnacentral:rRNA from 1 species